GGUUCCCUCACGUUGGCAGGUCGGUUUCCACACCUGCAGCCCUGCCCUUAAAUUCUUCUGGGUGUACAUAAAAGCCAGGAUGGAGAUAAAAGGAGGCAGACAGGGAGGAGGAAAGCCAAGUGAGGACAGCAGCAUCUUUCACUGAGACCCCCUGCAGGAUCGUCAGAGACCCCACAGAACAGAAGUCUUCAUCUUCUUCAAAACUGCAUCUGACCUCUGUGACCUGAUUGGUCCUUCCUCCAAAAUGCUCCUCCCCCUGCUGUUCCUGUUUGCUGCUGCUGGACUGACGGAUGCAUCCAUUGGCAUCAUAAUAACUGAAAACACUCAGGUUAACACCAGCUCAUGUCCCAUCACAUAUUAUGGACAGGUGUACACCACAGUCUAUAUAAACUUCACCGGGGAACACAUGUUUGUUUGUUUCAACGGCUAUUACAACCCUGAGAGCAACGGUGACUGUAUUAAGACCCCGAACACUGAAAACAUUACAAUCUUUGAGUUAAAUGACGACAAUGAUCCUUCCUAUUGGACUUAUCUGACAACUCUGAUA